rnacentral:rRNA from 1 species
CGUAGUAAUAGUCUAGUGGCGACCGGGUGCGUAACACGUAGCUGACCUGCCCCUCAGCGGGGGACAACAGCCCGAAAGGGCUGCUAAUACCGCAUAACGUCGAGGAAGUUAAGAAACUUGACUAAACUUACGGGGCUGAGGGAGGGGGCUGCGGCCCAUCAGGUAGUUGGUGAGGUAACGGCUCACCAAGCCAACGACGGGUAGGGGGCCUGAGAGGGUGGUCCCCCACACUGGAACUGACAAACGGUCCAG